rnacentral:rRNA from 1 species
UACGGAGGGGGCGAGCGUUAUUCGGAAUUAUUGGGCGUAAAGGGCGCGUAGGCGGCCUGGCAAGUCAAAGGUGAAAUCCCUCGGCUCAACUGAGGAACUGCCUUUGAAACUGCAAGGCUUGAGGCCGGGAGGGGGUAGCGGAAUUCCCAGUGUAGCGGUGAAAUGCGUAGAUAUUGGGAGGAACACCAGUGGCGAAGGCGGCUACCUGGACCGGUUCUGACGCUGAGGAACGAAAGCUAGGGGAGCGAACGGG